rnacentral:tRNA from 1 species
UCGGACCAUAGCGCAGUUUGGUAGCGCACUUGACUGGGGGUCAAGGGGUCGCGGGUUCAAAUCCCGCUGGUCCGACCA